AUUGAACGCUGGCGGCAGGCCUAACACAUGCAAGUCGAACGGUAACAGGAAGCAGCUUGCUGCUUCGCUGACGAGUGGCGGACGGGUGAGUAAUGUCUAGGAAGCUGCCUGAUGGAGGGGGAUAACUACUGGAAACGGUAGCUAAUACCGCAUAAUGUCGCAAGACCAAAGAGGGGGACCUUCGGGCCUCUUGCCAUCGGAUGUGCCCAGAUGGGAUUAGCUUGUUGGUGGGGUAACGGCUCACCAAAGCGACGAUCCCUAGCUGGUCUGAGAGGAUGACCAGCCACACUGGAACUGAGACACGGUCCAGACUCCUACGGGAGGCAGCAGUGGGGAAUAUUGCACAAUGGGCGCAAGCCUGAUGCAGCCAUGCCGCGUGUAUGAAGAAGGCCUUCGGGUUGUAAAGUACUUUCAGCGGGGAGGAAGGGAGUAAAGUUAAUACCUUUGCUCAUUGACGUUACCCGCAGAAGAAGCACCGGCUAACUCCGCG
rnacentral:rRNA from 1 species